rnacentral:rRNA from 1 species
UACGUAGGGUGCGAGCGUUAAUCGGAAUUACUGGGCGUAAAGCGUGCGCAGGCGGCGUUGCAAGACAGGUGUGAAAUCCCCGGGCUUAACCUGGGAACUGCGCUUGUGACUGCAAUGCUAGAGUGCGGCAGAGGGGGGUGGAAUUCCUGGUGUAGCAGUGAAAUGCGUAGAGAUCAGGAGGAACACCGAUGGCGAAGGCAGCCCCCUGGGUCGACACUGACGCUCAGGCACGAAAGCGUGGGGAGCAAACAGG